rnacentral:rRNA from 1 species
UACGUAGGGCGCGAGCGUUGUCCGGAAUUAUUGGGCGUAAAGAGCUCGUAGGCGGCCUGUCGCGUCCGCUGUGAAAUCCCGGGGCUCAACCCCGGGCCUGCAGUGGAUACGGGCAGGCUGGAGUUCGGUAGGGGAGACUGGAAUUCCUGGUGUAGCGGUGAAAUGCGCAGAUAUCAGGAGGAACACCGGUGGCGAAGGCGGCAUCCUGGACCGGCAUUGACGCUGAGGCGCGAAAGCCAGGGGAGCAAACGGG